CUCACCUACUCUUCUCUCUCUCUCUCUCUCUCUCUCUCUCUCUCUGUUCCUGGGUCUCAUGAAACGCUACUAGAUCUCGACCUGCCCGCUUCUUUUUCUUCCACCAGAACUAUUCCCAUACGCAGUUUUCAUUUGAACGUUUGGAUUUCUAGAUCCCCAUCCUCUUCUAUCUGCUUUGCUAAUUUAUCUUCUUGAUCCGUCUCAUUCUCCCUUGCUUUUUUCUCAAGGAUAGGUCAUUUAGAUGCAGGUUUUGUUUUCAGGAUGCCCCCAGGAAAUCCGACCCCCAAGCUCAAAACUCCAUGAAUUUCUAAAAGAAAAAAUAAUGGGAGUUGUUUUGUCUUUCCUUUUUGGAGGGUAUCUCAGCCAACUAUUCUGCCCGGCCGUACGGAUUGGAUUAUUUAAUUUAUAAAAAGUACUAAGAAAACUUUACCUUCCGUUCAUCCUUUCUGCGCAGUUUUCUUUUGGAACCGUAUUUUUCUAUUAGGGUUCCUUCGGCCACUCUGUACCUCUAGCUUCACCUAUUUGUUCAGUGCCACAUCAGCCCAAAGUUUGUGGAAGCCCACUGUCGUUGUCUGCAGGCGCAGCAUCCUCAAGAUUCACAUGCCAUUAAUGCACGGCGGAAGCAAUUUGAUUAAGUUAAUUUCUUCCAGAUGUUGGAGUUGAGAAUCUUGAUGAUGCUGCAUCGGCGGAUAAAUGACUACAAAAUACCUUAUCGAAGGAUCUAGAGUCUGAUGUUUCCAGAACGAGGGGAACUAUUUUCAAUUCUCAGACGUUUCUUUUCCUGAUCAUCAUAUAAAGUAUUUUUUUAGUUAAUACACGCUAGCUGGGGGUUUGUUUCUGUUCCCGUGCCAUUUUUCCUUUACGACUUUGAGUAUUUUUUUCAUUCUUUAUUGUUCAUGAUUUCCAGGAUUCAAGGGAUCGAGCUAUAUAUUCAUGACAGGGGUUAUUUAUUGAAGUGCAAGAGUUAAGAAAGAACCUUCAGGUGGUUAGGAGCGAGCGAGUUUCUUCCCAAAGUUUCUUUACAUAUGUGACGAACUGAUCAUGAUAUUGGGAACUCGACCGUACGUAAUUAAGUAAUUAG